UACGGAGGGUGCGAGCGUUGUUCGGAAUCACUGGGCGUAAAGGGCGUGUAGGCGGUCCGCUAAGUCUGAUGUGAAAGCCCGGGGCUCACCCCCGGAAGUGCAUUGGAAACUGGCGGACUCGAGUCCCGGAGAGGAGAGUGGAAUUCCUGGUGUAGCGGUGAAAUGCGUAGAUAUCAGGAGGAACACCGGUGGCGAAGGCGGCUCUCUGGACGGUGACUGACGCUGAGACGCGAAAGCGUGGGGAGCAAACAGG
rnacentral:rRNA from 1 species